rnacentral:rRNA from 1 species
UACGUAUGUCGCGAGCGUUAUCCGGAACUAUUGGGCAUAAAGGGCAUCAAGGCGGCCGGAUAAGUCUGGGGUGAAACCUUGCGGCUCAACCGCAAGCCUGCCCUGGAAACUAUGCGGCUAGAGUACUGGAGAGGUGGACGGAACUGCACGAGUAGAGGUGAAAUUCGUAGAUAUGUGCAGGAAUGCCGAUGAUGAAGAUAGUUCACUGGACGGUAACUGACGCUGAAGUGCGAAAGCUAGGGGAGCAGAC